rnacentral:tRNA from 3 species
GCCCGUGUGGCCUAAUGGCUAAGGCGUCUGACUGUAAAUCAGAAGAUUCGGAGUUCGACCCUCCGCAUGGGCU